ensembl:snRNA U1 U1 spliceosomal RNA
AUACUUACCUGGCAAGGGAUAAGCCACGAUGAUCACGAAGGUGGUUUUCUCAGGGCAAGGCUUGCCCAUUGUACACCAGAUGUGCGAGACCCUGAGAUUUCCCCAAAUGUAGGAAACCCAACUGUAUAAUUUGUUGUAGUAGAGACUGUGUUCAUUCUGUCUCCU